rnacentral:snoRNA from 1 species
UAUCAGUGAUGAACCUAUCCCGAACCUGACUUGCUGAUGAGAAAUUUUAUAUGGAUCUGGCUUCUGAGAU